AUUGAACGCUGGCGGCAUGCUUUACACAUGCAAGUCGAACGGUAACAGGCCUUCGGGUGCUGACGAGUGGCGAACGGGUGAGUAAUGCAUCGGAACGUGCCCAGAGGUGGGGGAUAACGCAGCGAAAGCUGUGCUAAUACCGCAUGUGAUCUGAGGAUGAAAGCGGGGGACCAGGCAGCAAUGUUUGGCCUCGCGCCUUUGGAGCGGCCGAUGUCAGAUUAGGUAGUUGGUGGGGUAAAGGCCUACCAAGCCGACGAUCUGUAGCUGGUCUGAGAGGACGACCAGCCACACUGGGACUGAGGCACGGCCCAGACUCCUACGGGAGGCAGCAGUGGGGAAUUUUGGCAAAGGGGGGCGAGCGUGAUCCAGCAAUGCCGCGUGCGGGAAGAAGGCCUUCGGGUUGGAAACCGCUUUUGUACGGAACGAAAAGGCUCUGGCUAAUACCUGGUGCUGAUGACGGUACCGUAAGAAUAAGCACCGGCUAACUACGUG
rnacentral:rRNA from 1 species